rnacentral:rRNA from 1 species
GAUGAACGCUGGCGGCGUGCCUAAUACAUGCAAGUCGAGCGAACGGACGAGAAGCUUGCUUCUCUGAUGUUAGCGGCGGACGGGUGAGUAACACGUGGAUAACCUACCUAUAAGACUGGGAUAACUUCGGGAAACCGGAGCUAAUACCGGAUAAUAUUUUGAACCGCAUGGUUCAAAAGUGAAAGACGGUCUUGCUGUCACUUAUAGAUGGAUCCGCGCUGCAUUAGCUAGUUGGUAAGGUAACGGCUUACCAAGGCAACGAUGCAUAGCCGACCUGAGAGGGUGAUCGGCCACACUGGAACUGAGACACGGUCCAGACUCCUACGGGAGGCAGCAGUAGGGAAUCUUCCGCAAUGGGCGAAAGCCUGACGGAGCAACGCCGCGUGAGUGAUGAAGGUCUUCGGAUCGUAAAACUCUGUUAUUAGGGAAGAACAUAUGUGUAAGUAACUGUGCACAUCUUGACGGUACCUAAUCAGAAAGCCACGGCUAACUACGUGCCAGCAGCCGCGGUAAUACGUAGGUGGCAAGCGUUAUCCGGAAUUAUUGGGCGUAAAGCGCGCGUAGGCGGUUUUUUAAGUCUGAUGUGAAAGCCCACGGCUCAACCGUGGAGGGUCAUUGGAAACUGGAAAACUUGAGUGCAGAAGAGGAAAGUGGAAUUCCAUGUGUAGCGGUGAAAUGCGCAGAGAUAUGGAGGAACACCAGUGGCGAAGGCAACUUUCUGGUCUGUAACUGACGCUGAUGUGCGAAAGCGUGGGGAUCAAACAGGAUUAGAUACCCUGGUAGUCCACGCCGUAAACGAUGAGUGCUAAGUGUUAGGGGGUUUCCGCCCCUUAGUGCUGCAGCUAACGCAUUAAGCACUCCGCCUGGGGAGUACGACCGCAAGGUUGAAACUCAAAGGAAUUGACGGGGACCCGCACAAGCGGUGGAGCAUGUGGUUUAAUUCGAAGCAACGCGAAGAACCUUACCAAAUCUUGACAUCCUUUGACAACUCUAGAGAUAGAGCUUUCCCCUUCGGGGGACAAAGUGACAGGUGGUGCAUGGUUGUCGUCAGCUCGUGUCGUGAGAUGUUGGGUUAAGUCCCGCAACGAGCGCAACCCUUAAGCUUAGUUGCCAUCAUUAAGUUGGGCACUCUAAGUUGACUGCCGGUGACAAACCGGAGGAAGGUGGGGAUGACGUCAAAUCAUCAUGCCCCUUAUGAUUUGGGCUACACACGUGCUACAAUGGACAAUACAGAGGGCAGCGAAACCGCGAGGUCAAGCAAAUCCCAUAAAGUUGUUCUCAGUUCGGAUUGUAGUCUGCAACUCGACUACAUGAAGCUGGAAUCGCUAGUAAUCGUAGAUCAGCAUGCUACGGUGAAUACGUUCCCGGGUCU